rnacentral:rRNA from 1 species
GUUAUCGUUUAUUUGAUAGUACCUUACUACUUGGAUAACCGUGGUAAUUCUAGAGCUAAUACAUGCUGAAAACCCCAACUUCGGGAGGGGUGUAUUUAUUAGAUAAAAAACCAACGCCCUUCGGGGCUUCUUGGUGAUUCAUGAUAACUUCACGGAUCGCAUGGCCUUGCGCCGGCGACGGUUCAUUCAAAUUUCUGCCCUAUCAACUUUCGAUGGUAAGGUAUUGGCUUACCAUGGUUUCAACGGGUAACGGGGAAUUAGGGUUCGAUUCCGGAGAGGGAGCCUGAGAAACGGCUACCACAUCCAAGGAAGGCAGCAGGCGCGCAAAUUACCCAAUCCCGACACGGGGAGGUGGUGACAAUAAAUACUGAUACAGGGCUCUUUUGGGUCUUGUAAUUGGAAUGAGUACAAUUUAAACCUCUUAACGAGGAACAAUUGGAGGGCAAGUCUGGUGCCAGCAGCCGCGGUAAUUCCAGCUCCAAUAGCGUAUAUUAAAGUUGUUGCAGUUAAAAAGCUCGUAGUUGAAACUUGG